rnacentral:siRNA from 1 species
ACGGGUUUUGCGAGACGGGUUUGG